GGGCCCGCACAAGCAGCGGGAGCAUGUGGUUUAAUUCGAAGCAACGCGAAGAACCUUACCAAGGCUUGACAUCCCACUAAAGCUACAGAGACGUAGUGUCCCUUCGGGGGGAGUGGAGACAGGUGGUGCAUGGUUGUCGUCAGCUCGUGUCGUGAGAUGUUGGGUUAAGUCCCGCAACGAGCGCAACCCCUAUUGCCAGUUACCAGCGAGUGAAGUCGGGGACUCUGGCGAGACUGCCGCGGUUAACGCGGAGGAAGGUGGGGACGACGUCAAAUCAUCAUGCCCCUUAUGUCUUGGGCUACACACGUGCUACAAUGGCAGUUACAGAGGGAAGCGAAGCUGUAAAGUGGAGCGAAUCCCAAAAAGGCUGUCCCAGUUCGGAUUGUGGGCUGCAACCCGCCCACAUGAAGUCGGAGUUGCUAGUAAUCGCGGAUCAGCAUGCCG
rnacentral:rRNA from 1 species